ACGCUCUUCUGAUCUCGGAGAUCUUUGUGAAGAACGAUUGCUUAUUUUAUUAACUACCGCUGUCGAUACCAUUUCGUUUGCCUGUCUCAACCAUGUAACCUUCCCGACAAUGUAUGAUCGAUUGACCUGUUCAUUUUUCCUGACUUGAGU